AUUGAACGCUGGCGGCAGGCCUAACACAUGCAAGUCGAACGAGUGGCGGACGGGUGAGUAAUGUAUGGGAAACUGCCUGAUGGAGGGGGAUCACUAAUGGAAACUGUAGCUAAUACCGCAUACCCUAGGAUGUGCCCAUAUGUGAUUAGCUAGUAGGGGGGGUAAAGGCUCACCUAGGCGACGAACCCGAGCUGGGUUGAGAGGAUGACCCGCCAAACUGGAACUGAGACACGGUCCAGACUCCUACGGGAGGAAGCAGUGGGGAAUAUUGCACAAUGGGCGAAAUCCUGAUGCAGCCAUCCCGCUUGUAUGAAGAAGGCCUUCGGGGUGUAAAGUACUUUCAGCGGGGAGGCGUUACCCGCAGAAGAAGCACCGGCUAACUCCGUGCCAGCAGCCGCGGUAAUUC
rnacentral:rRNA from 1 species